GGGAGUUCCAGCUAUGUAUUAUAGAGUGACGUGCACACGCCUGACACCUGUACAUUUGAUUAAAAAAAAAUUAAAAUAUUUUUCUUAUUCUUUUCCUUAUCUUCUUUUAAUAUAUAUAUAUAUAUAUACAUAUUACAUUUUCCUCUCUCAUUUGGCUUUCUUAAUAAUUUCAGCUCCUCCCUUCUUCAUUGCCACCGCUGACGAGCUACCAUGCCGGAGCUCCGGCGAACUCCAUCUCCCAAUCAGCCACUGCCCUAUUCCCACUUCUCUCACCUCUGUUCUCACCCUCUUCCCCUCCCCUCCGUUUGCCGGCCAUGGCCUACUGAAACUAGUAAGAAGCAACCAGUUCUAACCAGAUUUCUUAAGAUAUGAUUGGAUUUCUGGUCCUUUAACAACUAAUGGAAUUAUCAUUCAUCAACUAAAAACCCUAAUUGAAUUAUUCACAUAAUAGCUAUGACAUCACAGAAGAAAGAAUCAGAGGGCAUCGGUCCAAUGUCUAUCUAUGGCGAUGAGGAAGAUGAUGAAAUCAUUCUCAGGAAACUCUUCAAGGCAAUUGCGUUUUUCUUGGGUCAAUUUGUUGGUCGUGGAAAGGUUAGGGUUUUUUGGUGGUGGUGGUGUCUCAUAUUUGGGUUUUACGUGGUGGUGGUGUCUUAGAUUAAGAUUUUGAUGGUGGUGGAGAGAUUAGGGUUUUUGGUGGUGGUAGUGUCUCAGAUCUGACCGUGUGUAUUUGUUAAAAGCCAAAUACAAAUACAUUAAAAAAUCUACAUCUCACAAAUACACUGUUUUUUAAUGUAUUUGUCUUUGUAUUUUUUGAGUGUAUUUCUUAGUGUAUUUUGUUAAUUUUUGUAUUUGUAUCUGAAUGUAUUUGUUGAAAUUCAUUCAAAUACACGAAAAUUUGAAUA